rnacentral:rRNA from 1 species
GACGAACGCUGGCGGCGUGCCUAAUACAUGCAAGUCGAACGGAAGGGCCCUGAUUUUGUUGCGUGCUCGAUUGGCGCGCAGGGGAGUAACACGUGAGUAUACUCCCCUUGUCUUUCGGGUAACAUUAGGAAACUCCGGCGCUUAUCCGGUAUGAGCUUUUGCUGCACGGGGUGGGUUGGAAAGUUUCGGCGGUUGGGGAUCGACUCGCGGGUUAUCAGCUGGUUGGUCAGGUAGUGGCUUACCAAGGCUUUGACGGCUAGCCGGCAUGAGAGCGUGGACGGCGUCAUUGGGCCUACGAUAGGGCGCAGACUCCAACGGGAGGCAGCAGUCGGAAAUAUUGCACAGUGAGGGGGCGCCAGAUGCAGCAACGCCGCGUGCGGAAAGCCGGGCUUCGGGUUGUAAACCGCUUUCGCCUGUAACGAAGCGUGAGUGACGGUAAUGGGUAAAGAAGCCACGGCUAACUACGUG